ACAAAGUGUUUGCAUAAUGGUGCAUGAGUAAGUAGUAUUAUUGGGUCAUUGCAGGAACAUUUGAGCUGCAGUUGCACCACUGCUCAGUUAUGCAGCAGUGGUGCACAUGUGCAGCAUACAUGGGAUGCAAGAACUGUGGGUUUCAUUCCUGCAUAAUUUUUCAACAUGUCCAUAAAUUCAGGGGCAACCUGACUUUUCUGAUGAUCAAAUUAUCUACGCCACUGUAUUGUAUUAACUGGAGAGCUCCUUCAGUGACAGACUGCUGCAUCAUAGGUGCACAUAGGAGCAUUAUCACAGAUCCUUCCUCCCAAAUACAUGCACAAUUUGUACAUUUUUUUAAAAUCACCUACACAGUUGCACAUUUCUUUUAUUCUGAGUACACUAUUUUCAUUAACUGUGCAAUAUUCUUUCUAAAUUUAUUACUGUACAGUCUCUUACUCUUACUUUUUUGUUUUUAGAUAAGUUUUACUUUUGUGUGAAUCUGCAUGCAUUUUACUUUGCUGCAGGUACACUGAAUUUCCUCACUGUUGGACAAUAAAGGAUAUUCCUAAAAUAUUUCUAUAGAAUUCUAUUCUAAUAUUGAUGUUAACUGAGAAUUAGCAUAUUAAUCUGCCAAGUUGUUGUGUCUAAGUUUUCAUCAUAUAAUUUUCAGUCCAGGGUCAAUCCAUUGCCUAACAGAUCGACCCGUCCACUAGAAUUUGUAAUAACCUAAGAAGCUUUGAAAUCAAAAUCAAAUGAUUAACUACGUUACAACGUAGUCACUUCCAGUUGUUUGCCCAUAUAUCUGCCUAAAGCACUGAUUUAAAAUAAAUAAAGGCGUCAGAGUCUGUGUGUGUGUGUGUGUGUGUGUGUGUGUGUUUGGUGCUCUUGUCUUCAUAACCAUUUAGUUGGUGCUGGAGUUCUCCGGUGCGCUGGAUGACAGGUGUCUCCUAUCUGCUGAUUGCUUGGAGGAGUACUUAAGCGGGAGGCUGCCAGCACUUCGAUGCCAGAGUGUUUGCCUUAGUGGUAACAAGCUCAGCCUUUACUGAUUUUUUUUGGCUUUGUUCAUGAACUUCAAGUAACUUUAUAUUUUGUUUCCAUGCAGGUUUUUACCUGAGGCUUUGUUUACCUUGCUGAGUUCUGACUUCGUUCCUGAGUUUCUCUGAGCAUCUGGAUUCUCAACUACUGAGUUAAGGAUCUAUCUUAUUGUGGAUUUUUUCCUCUCUACCAUCUGUACCUCUCAGACACGGACCAAGCUGGCGGCUUCCCGUUUUCCCCAACUCCUGGACCCAGGCAUCAGCAUACCCUGCUCCUUCCUCCAUCUCAAACAUCGGCACCUGAGCUCCCUUUGGCUGGCAUCAAGAUCACAACGAAGAAGAUAACUGAACGAUCUUCCUUCGCAAGUUAAGACUCUGAAUCUCUCUCUCCCUGGUGGUUCAAGCUACAACAAUUUAUUGGUGUUUCCAGUUCUCCCCAGAUUACUUUGCUGUCAGUAAAAUCCCUAAAAACCUUC